CAGCCGCCGCGGUAAUACCGGCGGCCCGAGUGGCGGUCACUAUUAUUGGGCUUAAAGCGUCCGUAGCCGGGUUGGGAAGUCCUCCGGGAAAUCUGGCCGCUUAACGGUCAGAAUGCCGGAGGAUACUCCCAGCCUAGGGAGCGGGGGAGGCCGAGGGUAUUCCCGGAGUAGGGGGGAAAUCCUAUAAUCCCGGGAGGACCACCUGUGGCGAAGGCGCUCGGCUGGAACGCGUCCGACGGUGAGGGACGAAGGCCAGGGGAGCAAACCGGAUUAGAUACCCGGGUAGUCCUGGCGGUAAACGAUGCGGACUUUGUGUCGGACAAGCUAUGAGCUUGUCCGGUGCCGGAGGGAAACCGUUAAGUCCGCCGCCUGGGGAGUACGGCCGCAAGGCUGAAACUUAAAGGAAUUGGCGGG
rnacentral:rRNA from 1 species